UGGGGUACUGAACUUAACAGAGAAUUCACAACAGAUGAACUUCGAAUGGCUAAAAAGUACUUAAGGACAAUUUUUUCUUAUAACAUUUGAAAACUGCCUUAUUUGUGGUAGAUGUAUGCUGUCUCAGCUCAGUUCCCACAAGAAGCAGAUGCCAAGAGGAGCUAGCAUGACCUUGACGCGAUGAACUCGGCUCUAGUUCUAAAGGGAAGCAUUUGAAGGCUUACAGUUGACUACACUCCCAGCUGAAGAUUCUUCUGAAGGCUAUUUAGUGGUUCAGCAACCUGGCCAUUACAGGUAUAUGAUCCUAGCACCAGCAGGUGGAGGCGGAGGCCUAGAAUUUCAAGGUCAUCCUCAACUGCACAUCAAGUUUGAGGCAGCCUGGGCUACAUGAGAACCUGGUUCAACAACAAUAAAAACAACUUUAACAAAAAGGUGUUUCUUAUAUAUGAAUCUUUGUGUUCUUCUCUCUAAGACCCCUUUAAAAAUAAACUAAUCUAUAGACUUCUGCUUAACCAUGAUACGUUGUUUUUCUCAAUUACCUCU